rnacentral:misc_RNA from 1 species
UUUCCGCAGGUGAACCUGCGGAAGGAUCAUUAUUAUAUAACCGAGGUGCGAGGGCUGUCGCUGACCCGAAAGGUCGUGCACGCCCGAGUGCCCUCACACACAUCCAUCUCACCCCUAUGUGCACCACCGCGUGGGUCCCCCUUUGGCUUGUUCGGAGGGGGGCUUACGUUUUCACACAAACUUUGUAUGCAGUGUAGAAUGUAUUUUUUGUUUUUGCGAUCACGCAAUCAAUACAACUUUCAACAACGGAUCUCUUGGCUCUCGCUCGAUGAAGAACGCAGC